rnacentral:rRNA from 1 species
CUAAUACAUUACAACUUUCAGCGGUGGAUGUCUAGGUUCCCACAACGAUGAAGAACGCAGCGAAAUGCGAUACGUAAUGCGAAUUGCAAGACCUCGUGAAUCAUCAAAAUUUUGAACGCACAUUGCGCUCUCGGGAUUUUCCCGUGAGCAUGCUUGUCUGAGUGUCUGUGGA